CCUCUCUCACCCCCUAUAAUGAUCAGAGCUCGCGGAACUGGAAUUGAUGUACCUGUGUGGGUGGAGAGAGAGUUAGUGGAUCUGAAGAUGUGUAUGUACGACCGCCUGUAUCAGGAUGCAAUACUUGUCAACAACAGAGCCACAUCAGCUCUUAGACUAAAGUUUGAAGUUUGUAAGGAGCUCAGGAGUCACCUGGAACUAUUACCCAAGACAGCUUA